GCCUGGUCGCUGCACGGGCAGGCUGUGCGAACACCUCAGCUUGUCCGGGUUCGGUGCUAGGCCAGCAGGGAAAAGCGGCUCCAAAGGCCUCUCUCAGAGAAGUGCAUCAGUGAAACUGACAGCAAUUCAGCCUCCUGCCAGCACAGAAGCAGCCAGUGCCUGUGCCUGCAUCCUUGAGAUGGUAGCUGGAGAAGAAUGAUCUUCCCAAAGGCACCAGGAAAGGAAUGUCAGAGGCCGAUGUUUCUUUUCACCUAACGCUGGUGUGCCUGUGAAACCAACAGGCGUGAAAGAAAGGUUGGAACAUGACCAAUGCUGAGAGAAGUGGUAAAGCUCUCUGUCCAGCACCUGCCUUGUGCCCUCUGUGUCUCAGCGGGUGCCCAGUUCAGCAGCAGCAGUCGUGGUCCUUGGCUCAUCUGGCAGAAGAAAUUCAGUGUCAUCACCCAAAAAGCAGCUGACUGGACUUGCAGUGGGCACAGAUGGCCAAGAGAAAAGCUAUCAAGUCCACUGAAUGUUCUAAAAAUAGUCAGAUGCUUCACUGGUUUCUGCAUUGCUGUGCUGUUGGAGGUACUGUUGUUCACAUGCACAGUUUUGGAAAGUAAUGCCCAUGACUAAAGGAUUGCUUGUUGGUGCUUUAUGGCAGCAGACAGGAUUUCUGGGUGCUUACUCCUGAGCACAGCAAGCAGGACUUUUUCUUGUUUCGUGAAAAUGUGAACUACUUAAACUGCAAGUAGGAAGGUACAUCAUUCUUCAUGGAUGAGAAGGGAAGGAAAAGGGAGAAAAAAUAAUUUUGAGAAAUUGGUAAAUUUAUCAGUCUUUAAAGAGUGCUCUAUUCACACACUAAGUUACUUUUAAUCUUCUGUUCCCUUUUUUUAUCCCUGCACUUAGAGCAUCUUCUGCUGCUACUUUGAAUGUACCAGGGCAGGAGGCUGCUGUCCUGCAGUGCCAGGUUGCAGGGAGGACAGCAGGACCUGGAAGCGUAGCAGUUUCUGGAGGUCUUGAGAGUGUGGUGACAGUAGAAGGGGUGUGGAUAUCCAUGGUCAGGAGUUCAGUCUGUACCUGUAAUUAUAACAUUAAAAAACAAAUUUUUUUUUUUGGCCUCGUUGGAGCAUUCCCAUUCUAAUUACAAAUUUUCAGUAAACUCUCCAGAAUUCCCUGGCAGCAACACUAGAGAGACACAGCAAGUAUCCAGAAAUGAGUAAAUAUAAAUAAAAUAUUCAGAGCAGUAGGGCUAAAUUCGGGA
rnacentral:lncRNA from 1 species